UACGAAGGGGGCUAGCGUUGUUCGGAAUUACUGGGCGUAAAGCGUGCGCAGGCGGCUUCUCAAGUCAGGGGUGAAAGCCCAGAGCUCAACUCUGGAAUUGCCUUUGAGACUGAGUGGCUUGAGUACGAGAGAGGUGAGUGGAAUUCCCAGUGUAGAGGUGAAAUUCGUAGAUAUUGGGAAGAACACCUGUGGCGAAAGCGGCUCACUGGACCAUAACUGA
rnacentral:rRNA from 1 species